rnacentral:rRNA from 1 species
GACGAACGCUGGCGGCGUGCCUAACACAUGCAAGUCGAGCGGAGAUUGCAGUAAUGUAAUCUUAGCGGCGGACGGGUGAGUAACGCGUGGGCAACCUGCCUUAGACAGGGGGAUAACACAGGGAAACUUGUGCUAAUACCGCAUAACGUAUAGAUAUGGCAUCAUAUUUAUACCAAAGGAGUAAUCCGGUCUGAGAUGGGCCCGCGUCCGAUUAGCUAGUUGGUAAGGUAAUGGCUUACCAAGGCGACGAUCGGUAGCCGAACUGAGAGGUUGAUCGGCCACAUUGGGACUGAGACACGGCCCAGACUCCUACGGGUGGCUG